rnacentral:lncRNA from 1 species
GGAGGUGUGGUAGACAGCGCAACAUUUCGAAACACCAAUCCAAAUAAGGAUCCCUCACCCUAUACUCCGUUACGGUAAAUUGAGACUUAAUAAUAUAUAAUUUUGUGCUUUGCGAGAAAAUUAAAAAAUCCUAAAAAUAAUUACAAGUCAUUAGUGAAGCUGAAACCGGUUAGUUCACGAUUUUCUUGAUUUUUUGUUUAUUUUCUUAUACUGCCCUACUUACUUGUUAUUAUAUGGUGCAUGUUCUUAAUUUGUAACUUCUAUAGUCUUAUCGAUUUAUCUGAUUUAUUCAGUUAUCUAGUUAUUCGAUAUGUUAUUAUGACAAACUAUAUCGUCUGCAUAAAUGUUGCCUAAUUGAUCUAUAAAUAUAAUAUGAGAUAUUAGUAUGCGUUUGUUGGUUGUUUUGUUAAUGGAAAUCUUUAUGUAAAAGACUUACUGGGUACCUAGGGAAAUAGCGGACGGGCCCGGUACAUAGGAAACCCUACCGUGAACGUUAACUCAAUUGAAUAGGGCUAGGAAGUCUCUUACCAAAAAAGUUUAGGAUAUAUGAUUCACUCUCAUACCAAACGAGGUAUCAAAGAGAUAAAAUGUUUAGUACCCAUUACU